rnacentral:rRNA from 1 species
CUAGACUCCUACGGGAGGCAGCAGUGGGGAAUAUUGCACAAUGGGGGAAACCCUGAUGCAGCGACGCCGCGUGAGCGAAGAAGUAUUUCGGUAUGUAAAGCCCUAUCGGCAGGGAAGAAAUUGGACGGUACCUGACUAAGAAGCCCCGGCUAACUACGUGCCAGCAGCCGCGGUAAUACGUAGGGGGCAAGCGUUAUCCGGAUUCACUGGGUGUAAAGGGAGCGUAGACGGCCAUGCAAGCCUGGAGUGAAAGCCCGGGGCCCAACCCCGGGACUGCUCUGGGAACUGUGCGGCUGGAGUGCGGGAGGGGCAGGCGGAAUUCCUGGUGUAGCGGUGAAAUGCGUAGAUAUCAGGAGGAACACCGGCGGCGAAGGCGGCCUGCUGGACCGCGACUGACGUUGAGGCUCGAAAGCGUGGGGAGCAAACAGGAUUAGAUACCCUGGUA